rnacentral:rRNA from 1 species
UAGGGAAUAUUGGACAAUGGGGGCAACCCUGAUCCAGCCAUGCCGCGUGAGUGAAGAAGGCCCUCGGGUUGUAAAGCUCUUUUGUCCGGAAAGAAAAGCUUCGGGUUAAUACCCCGGGGUUCUGACGGUACCGGAAGAAUAAGCACCGGCUAACUUCGUGCCAGCAGCCGCGGUAAUACGAAGGGUGCAAGCGUUACUCGGAAUUACUGGGCGUAAAGCGUGCGUAGGUGGUUGUUUAAGUCUGAUGUGAAAGCCCUGGGCUCAACCUGGGAAUGGCAUUGGAAACUGGGCAGCUAGAGUGCGGUAGAGGGUAGUGGAAUUCCCGGUGUAGCAGUGAAAGGCGUAGAGAUCGGGAGGAACAUCUGUGGCGAAGGCGACUGCCUGGACCAGCACUGACACUGAGGCACGAAAGCGUGGGGAGCAAACA